rnacentral:lncRNA from 1 species
AGAUGUCUAUUUAUUAGUUGUCCUGUGUGAAAUAAAAUAAGCAUCAUGACUUGAAAUUCAUGGCAUUACAGAACACAGAGUGCAAGCUAGGAGAAUUUUUAACAACACAUAGAUGAGUGGACCAAGGAAAGAUCAGACCUCCAGAUAUUCAAGGCCAGUUGAAGAAAUAGUGCAACUCACACAGCGUUUCCACAAGAACAAGGACCAAGUGCAACCUGCAGGCAAAAGCUGUGGUUUGCACAAAGACAGAGUGGAGAACAAUUGGACAGGCAUCAACACUGAAUGAAGAAAAUUUUGGAGCCCACCUACCCUACUGUAGAGCCUUUGUGCUACAGCUCAGACUCAGACGUGAAAACAUAAAUGCCAUAAUGCAAAAGCACCGAAGUCUUCUACUGGAUCUGGCCCAAGUGAUUUGAAGCAGAAGACAGAAACGACAGAUACUUUUGCAGCACUGACAGGAAAAAUGGAAAUGCUUUGAUGAAGAUAAGACUCUUCCCCAUCACAUGAAUUCAGGCAUGUGCUUGCACAGAUGGGCAGAGGCAACUGCAAUGCCUUUGGCUUUCCAAGAAAAUGCUCUUCAGCUAUAGGUGUCGUUUAACAGCUUCUAGUUUUUGGCUCACAGAGCAGUGUGCCAGGACCUGGCAAAAUCCCACACCAGUGCUGCUGCAAGUUACCUUCCUCUGUAUGCACACUACCUUGGUCUGUCACCAAGGUGAAGCCCCAGCUUGGGACAUUUAUGAGUCACCAGAGGAACUGCAGUGUCCACUGGCAGACACUUGCCAAGGUACUAUUCUUUAUUCUUCAGCCAAAUUGGGCCACAUCAAGGUGUUCCCGCUAUUUGGAUUGCUCUAAAUGACAAAGAAGUGCUACAUAUUCCUGUGGGUGACAUUUGAUGCUUGUGAGGCAAGUCUCCCAAAGGCCAAUGGCCACACAAUCUCUUUCUCCUGAAAUACUGCAACAAAGACAAAGUAGUGAUGCAGCUACCAGCUGAACCAAGAAGGUGAUUCAAAAGUUUUCAAAAGAUUACCAUGUGCUUGAAAAUAAACAUUUAUUUUUUGCCAACUAUGGCAAAGCAAUUUACCUGUUUCAGAUCUAAUAGAGAGACUAGGAAAACCUUUUAGCACAAUGAUUACAGGUAUGGUCUGAAUAGAAGGCAUGCAUUCUGAGCAGUUUUACUGCCAUGUCUAAUGAACUGAUUGUCCUAGGAUUUAAAAUGUUCUUAAUUAAAAACUACAAUUACUGGUAAGUAAUGUUCUUGUUUUUAUAACCAUUGCCCGUAAAUGGUGUUACUGCUGAGAGUCAUGUUCCAUGCAGUACUCAGUCAUAGGAUUUGGGUGUACAAAUAAAACUAAAUAGUGCAGUCUUUUUCAUAGGUUAGAAAGAAAGCACAGUUAUCGCAUCAAUGACAGUAAUAAGUAAGGACUACCAGUUAAGUUCAUUUUGAAAGUAUUACUCCUACAGGACAAGAUAUUAUAAUAUGGAGGAAUGAAUAGCUACUAUAAGCUGCCACUGAUAUUUCAAUCAACAUUAAAGAAACACUUGAACAUAGUUUUCUGCAGAAAGACAGGUAGAAAAUGUUCAGUUAGUAUUGCUCAGUCAUUUUAAGACAUAGUUUUCUUUUAACAGUAUAUAGCUCUCAGCUACAGAAGUGUAAGGAAGCCUCUAGCCUUUAAAUUGUCUUCAAGUGAGUUUCCUGUGGAGAUAAAACAGAAAAGUAGCUAUAAAAUCCAAUCUUGAUAAUGGAUUGCUGCACUAGUGGCUCCCCAAUGAAUUUUGCAGCCACCAUGAUGUUGGUUAUCAUUUUGAGAGUUACUAUCUGAUUGCUAUUUAGAUAUAUAUAUAUUAUAGCAUACUGAUACAGAAAUUAAUAACUGAGCUAGAUUAGCCGUUAACCUUUGUACUGAAGUGGGAAAAUAUUUUAAAAUUUAGGAACAUAUUCUGAGUUGACAUAUGUUCCUUUACAUCUGUCAAAGACAAUAAAAGAUUUUGAUAUAAUUGAGGAAGUAGGUUUUAGUUAUUAUGGAAACCAAAGUAUUUAUAUUUUUCUUGUAUUGUAUGGAGAUUCAUAUUAAACAACAUCAAUUGGUCAGGAGGCACAUGUAGACUACAUACACGUCUGGACUGCAGACCUUCAUGGAGCUCUUGUACAUCAUUCCUGUUACAGUUGUGCGCUCCUCGUACAGUUGUAAACUAAUGGCCAUGACAGUCAGAAGCCUCUCUCUGACCAAAUAAUUUCACUGCCCUAGGUAGGGUACCAAAAACAAAAAACAAACAAACAAAAAAUAUAUUUUUUUUAUCUUUGUGUUGAUUUUUAAUUAAUUUGAAAAGGCUCCUAAACCAGAACUAUUUGGGAAACAGAGUGAAGGCUCUGAAUAAAGCCUUGGUAGAAGACGUAAGGGAACAAGCCAAAGAAUUAAUUUUUAUAAAUGUCACUGCUUUUUCUUGCAAUUCAUCCAAUACUUUAGGCUUUUGGCUUUAGGCUUACAAUUGAUUUUGUAUUACAGAACUAGCCUACUGUGGCACAAUUUUUUUUGGAAAGGAUUUCAGGUUAGUUUCAAUUAAAUACUGUGCAAUAGGCCUAUCUGAAAAACAGAAUUACACUGAUAAAUACUUAUUACUGAGGAAGAAGCAACAUAGAUGUUGUAAAGGGAAGAGACAUUUCACAGAGUUACUACAUUACACUGAAGACAUCACUAUGGACAAGGAAAAAAUUAGAUGGCCUCUAGCCAUUAUUAGCUUGUGGGAGAAACAUUCAAAAUAGUGAAAAAAAACUCUUCAGUUAUUAUGUGGCUAAACUAAAGAUUACAGAAAAGCAUUGUGGGUACUAGCUUAUAGGUAUUCAAAGAGAUCUUCAGUGAAGCUAUGGGAGAAGAUCACACUGAGGUUUGAAAUGUAAAGCGGACAGAUCUUUGGAUCCUUCUUGGUUCAAAAACUGCUGCUGAGUGGGAAGAUUCAUCAUGCAAGUCUCAUGACAUGAGAUGACUUGUUCUAUGUUUGGCCAAAGUGUACCUAUGUAAGCCGCAUUUUAUCUUUAAUGUGAAAAAGCAAGACUGGGAGGAGAGAGUGAACUGUCAAUAAGGAGGUCUGGAGUGGGGACUCUGCUAUUCCCCCUGUCUGGCAAUGACCUCCUUCUGGGCAAGGCAAUGGGAAGCACAGAGGUGUAGUACCUGACAAGGGUCUGUCGCUUAGGACUGUGAUGAGAAGGCUGCAGCACACUUUGCAAUGUGAAGCAGUAAUUAAUGAGUUGAAGCUGUACAUAACACUGAUAAAUCAAGAUGCGGAUAAGUAAUGACAAUGAUAUAUUAAUAUGUUAAAUAAUUUCAGAAUUGCAAGCUAUUAUUCUGUUGAGACAACAUUUGGUGUAUUAACAUUUUGUUGAGCUCUGAAUUUGUUACCAGUAAGUCCAAUAUGUUAAAUCUCCUUUUGUUUCUCAGACUGUAUUGCAAUUAAAAAUAUGAUGUUGUUUCAUGUCUAAUUGCUGGCCUGAACUGAAAUGGUGAGGGAUAUUUUCAUUUGAAAUGAAAAGAAAUCAAGAUUUCUAGAUAGCAACCACCUUCAGAAAGACCUUGGUAAUGGUACGGCAAAGCUUAAAGGUGUUUACAAUAGAAUAUUUUAAAAAUUAUAUUAUUUUUCCAGAUAAUUUUAGUCUUCAAGCAUAGACGAGAUACGUCAUUUGUUGGUUGUUUCUCUUUUUAAAUAAACAACUAUCUGGAAU